AUGAAGGCGACGAGGCUUCUUCGGGUCCUCCUCCUCGCUCUCGUGCUUCUCGUCGGCGCUUCCGGUGCCGCGGCGCAGGGGGGCGGUGCGGUUCCUCGCCGGCGGCCGCGGACGGUGGACGUGGGGGUGAUCCUGGACAGGACGACAUGGCUGGGGAACAUGAGCUGGACGUGCAUGGAGCUGGCCAUGGAGGACUUCUACGCCAACGCCGUCGACGCCGCCGCCGCAGGUGUUGAUCUACUGAAAAAUGUCGGCGUGCAAGCGAUCGUUGGGCCGCAGACUUCAACUCAGGCUAAAUUUCUUGCACGACUUGGGAACAAAUCAUCGGUUCCAAUCAUUUCCUUCUCCGCAGAUUGCCCGUCGCGAUCCGGACUAACUCCAUACUUCAUCCGGACCGCAUGGAACGACUCCUCUCAAGCAGAAGCCAUCGCCUCGCUUGUUCAGAAACACAAUUGGAGGGAAGUUGUCCCUGUCUUUGAGGACGAUGAUACCAAUACCAAGUUCAUUCCCGACCUCGUUGAUGCCCUCAAACAAGUUGACACGCGCGUCUCUUACAGGUGCAAGAUCCAUCCUUCAGCUACAGUGGAUGCUAUGAAGGCAGUUAUCUCAAGCUUAAGACACAAUUGGACAAGUGUAUUUAUUGUGCGAAUGUCACAUGCUUUGGCCCUUAAGUUUUUCCAGCUUGCUAAGGACGAAGGGAUGAUGGGCCAGGGAUUUGUCUGGAUCACCGCGUAUGGCUUGACAGAUAUCUUUGAUGUAGUUGGUUCUCCUGCUCUAGAUGUGAUGCAAGGAGUUCUUGGGGUGAAACCUCAUGUUCAAGAUACUGUGAAACUUCAAAACUUUGCACAGAAAUGGCACAGCAAGUACCGAUUAGAAAAUCCAGGCACCUCGUUAAGUGAACCCACAGUGUCUGGUCUCUAUGCUUAUGAUACCAUAUGGGCGUUAGCAUCAGCAGCAGAGAAUGCUACAUAUGUGAAUUUAGACUUUGGGCCGUCUGUAACAAAGAAUGGGUCCACUGACUUUGACAGAAUAGAUACUUCAAAGGCUGCUGAAAAACUGCGAGGUGCACUACUGAAGGUCAACUUUUCGGGCAUGAGCGGGAAAUUUCGUAUUGAAAACACACAGUUAGCAUCAUCAUAUUAUACGAUAAUCAACAUUGUUGGUCAGGAGAGAAGAGAAGUCGGGUUUUGGACUCCAGAAUUUGGCAUCUCUGGUAGUCUAAAUAUGAAGUCUGAUAUUAAAACCAUCAUAUGGCCAGGAGGAGAUCAUGAAACUGUGCCUAGAGGCUGGCUGUUGCCGAGGAAUAAAAGACUCCAAAUAGGUGUACCUGCAAAUCCUGGGUUUGGCCAACUUGUAAGAUAUGAAAAUGGCCCCGAAGGCAAAAAAGGGUUCUGCAUCAAAGUUUUUGAUGAAGUAGUUGAUAAUUUACCCUACCAAGUACUAUAUGACUACCAUGGAUUUGAUGACGGGCAAGGAAAUAGUAAUGGAACAUAUGAUGAACUUAUCUACAAGCUUUAUCUUAAGGAAUUCGAUGCAGUGGUAGGUGACGUAACAAUCUUGGCCAACCGCUCUUUAUAUGUGGACUUUACUCUUCCCUAUACGGAGUCAGGGGUGCGCAUGCUGGUUCCGGUCCUGGACCGGAGACAGAAGACUGCAUGGACAUUCCUAAAGCCUUUGACAGCUGACCUUUGGUUAGGAACUGGGGCCUUUGUUGUUUUCACUGGUUUUGUAGUCUGGUGUAUUGAGAAUCACGAAGAUUUCAAAGGUACCCCAGCUAAUCAAAUUGGAUCAGUCUUCUACUUUUCCUUUUCAACCCUUGUAUUUGCACACAGGGAAAAGAUUAAGAACAACUUAUCAAGAAUUGUAGUAGUUGUUUGGCUUUUUGUGGUGCUGAUAGUGCAGCAGAGUUAUACCGCAAGUUUAAGCUCAAUUCUCACAGUGGAACAACUUCAGCCAACAGUCACCAAUUUAGAUGAAGUUAUCAGGAAAGGGAGCCAUGUCGGCUACCUCAAUGAUUCAUUCUUGCCUGGGCUUUUGAAAAGUUUGAAAAUUGAUGAAUCAAAGAUGAUUGCGCUUAACUCUGUUGAGGAAUACAAUGACGCCUUGUCAACUGGAAAAGUUGCCGUCAUUGUUGAUGAGAUACCAUACCUUAAGUUAUUCCUUUCAAAAUAUUGCCACAACUACACUAUGACUGGACCAAUCUACAGGUUCGAUGGAUUUGGUUAUGCGUUCCCUCUAGGCUCUCCACUCACAGCUGAUAUCACGAGGGGGAUACUGAAGCUCGCAUCGAGUGGCAAAAUGGCUGAGCUUCAGAAAGACUUGUAUGGUGAUAAGUCAUGCCCCGACAAAGAUGACUCCCAAACUUCGAGCAGCCUUACGUUGCACAGCUUUCAGGGGUUGUUCAGCAUCUCCGGAGCAUGUUCAAUCCUGGCAUUAAUCCUGCAUGCUCUCAUAACCAACAAAGGUGUAUUCAGCAGAUGGCUUGCCGCCAUUUGCUCUAAGCUCUUCCACAAGAGUAAUAUACUCCAAAUAAUGAUGAGACCAGUGGCAAAUGCUGGUAAUACAGGAAGCCCACCAGAAGGACAAGGAUCGCGAGUGUGA
rnacentral:rRNA from 1 species